CUGCCCUGCCCGCUCCUACACCAGUGUGUGGGCCUGGGCUCUGUUCCCAGGUCUCGCGAGAUCUUGGCAAACCCCCUUCCUCUCUCAGCCUCACCUCACCGUCGAUGGCACCUAGGGCUGUGGCAGGGCGCAGGAUGCGCUUCAUGCUUGUGACUGAGUUCAAACUCCACACCAGCCGGGCUGUGCUCUGAUGGUCCCAGACUAGGUCUGCUCUGCCUCCCAGUCCUCCCAGGACUGCAUUGGCGACAGAACGAGUCCGUCCCUCAGUUUCCCGUGGCUCCUGGGAGGAGGCACAGAGCCGGUAACUGACUGCACCCAGGACCCAAACCCAGACCUGCCAGAUCCCAAACUCCCAGUCUUCCUCAUGGGCCACCGGACCAGUCCUGCAUGGAG
rnacentral:lncRNA from 1 species